rnacentral:rRNA from 1 species
UGGGGAAUUUUGGACAAUGGGGGAAACCCUGAUCCAGCCAUCCCGCGUGUGCGAUGAAGGCCUUCGGGUUGUAAAGCACUUUUGGCAGGAAAGAAACGUCAUGGGUUAAUACCCCGUGAAACUGACGGUACCUGCAGAAUAAGCACCGGCUAACUACGUGCCAGCAGCCGCGGUAAUACGUAGGGUGCAAGCGUUAAUCGGAAUUACUGGGCGUAAAGCGUGCGCAGGCGGUUCGGAAAGAAAGAUGUGAAAUCCCAGAGCUCAACUUUGGAACUGCAUUUUUAACUACCGGGCUAGAGUGUGUCAGAGGGAGGUGGAAUUCAGCGUGUAGCAGUGAAAUGCGUAGAUAUGCGGAGGAACACCGAUGGCGAAGGCAGCCUCCUGGGAUAACACUGACGCUCAUGCACGAAAGCGUGGGGAGCAAACAGG